rnacentral:pre_miRNA from 1 species
UCCAUACUCCCUCCGUCCUAAAAUUCUUGUCUUAAAUUUGUCUAGAUAGACAAGAAUUUUGGGACGGAGGGAGUACAUA